rnacentral:rRNA from 1 species
CCCCUAGACGUUUUGGGCUGCACGCGCGCUACAAUAAUACGCACAGCGAGUAUCACCGAGCUCGAAAGGGCAAGGUAAACAAUAGAAAAGGUACUGUAAUGGUUAUAGAUCCUUGUAAUUAUUGAUCUUCAACGAGGAAUUCCUAGUAAGUAUGUGUCAUCAUCACGCACUGAUUACGUCCCUGCCCUUUGUACACACCGCCCGUCGCUCCUACCGAUUGAGUGAGCCGAUGAAACUGCCGGAUGUGGACUAUUCAUAGUCUGCAGAAGAUAUUUGAAUCGUAGCGCUUAGAGGAAGGAGAAGUCGUAACA